GUGGGCAUAGCUCAGUUGGUUAGAGCGCUGGAUUGUGGUUCCAGAGGUCGCCGGUUCAAAUCCGGUUGUCCACC
rnacentral:tRNA from 1 species